CGUAGUUGGAUUUCUGACUUCAAACACCUGACCCUCCCUCGCUAGAGGUGUGUGUGCCGGAGUGUUUGUAUCAUCCUUUCAGUGAUCGGUUCUACCCUUAACCGGGUCGGAACUGUUAACUGGAUCUUUUACUUUGAAGAAAUUGGAGUGUUUAAAGCAGGCUUACGCCAGAACAUAUUAGCAUGGAAUAAUAAUUUAGGACUUUUGUUCUAUUUUGUUGGUUUCUAGGACGAAAGUAAUGA
rnacentral:rRNA from 1 species